rnacentral:rRNA from 1 species
GAACGCUGGCGGCGUGCUUAACACAUGCAAGUCGAACGAGAAUCUACUGAAGGAGGAUUCGUCCAACGGAAGUAGAGGAAAGUGGCGGACGGGUGAGUAACGCGUGAGGAACCUGCCUUGAAGAGGGGGACAACAGUUGGAAACGACUGCUAAUACCGCAUGAAGCAUAGGGGUCGCAUGAUUCUUAUGCCAAAGAUUUAUCGCUUCAAGAUGGCCUCGCGUCUGAUUAGCUAGUUGGCGGGGUAACGGCCCACCAAGGCGACGAUCAGUAGCCGGACUGAGAGGUUGAACGGCCACAUUGGGACUGAGAUACGGCCCAGACUCCUACGGGAGGCAGCAGUGGGGAAUAUUGGGCAAUGGGCGCAAGCCUGACCCAGCAACGCCGCGUGAAGGAAGAAGGCUUUCGGGUUGUAAACUUCUUUUAAGAGGGAAGAGCAGAUGACGGUACCUCUAGAAUAAGCCACGGCUAACUACGUGCCAGCAGCCGCGGUAAUACGCAGGUGGCAAGCGUUGUCCGGAUUUACUGGGUGUAAAGGGCGUGCAGCCGGGUCUGCAAGUCAGAUGUGAAAUCCAUGGGCUCAACCCAUGAACUGCAUUUGAAACUGUAGAUCUUGAGUGUCGGAGGGGCAAUCGGAAUUCCUAGUGUAGCGGUGAAAUGCGUAGAUAUUAGGAGGAACACCAGUGGCGAAGGCGGAUUGCUGGACGAUAACUGACGGUGAGGCGCGAAAGUGUGGGGAGCAAACAGGAUCAGAUACCCUGGUAGUCCACACUGUAAACGAUGAAUACUAGGUGUGCGGGGACUGACCCCCUGCGUGCCGCAGUAAACACAAUAAGUAUUCCACCUGGGGAGUACGAUCGCAAGGUUGAAACUCAAAGGAAUUGACGGGGGCCCGCACAAGCGGUGGAUUAUGUGGUUUAAUUCGACGCAACGCGAAGAACCUUACCAAGUCUUGACAUCCUGCGACGGUGCUGGAAACAGUACUUUCCUUCGGGACGCAGAGACAGGUGGUGCAUGGUUGUCGUCAGCUCGUGUCGUGAGAUGUUGGGUUAAGUCCCGCAACGAGCGCAACCCUUAUGGUCAGUUACUACGCAAGAGGACUCUGGCCAGACUGCCGUUGACAAAACGGAGGAAGGUGAGGAUGACGUCAAAUCAUCAUGCCCUUUAUGACUUGGGCUACACACGUACUACAAUGGCGUUAAACAAAGAGAAGCAAGACCGCGAGGUGGAGCAAAACUCAGAAACAACGUCCCAGUUCGGACUGCAGGCUGCAACUCGCCUGCACGAAGUCGGAAUUGCUAGUAAUCGCAGAUCAGCAUGCUGCGGUGAAUACGUUCCCGGGCCUUGUACACACCGCCCGUCACACCAUGAGAGCCGGGGGGACCCGAAGUCGAUAGUCUAACCGCAAGGAGGACGCCGCCGAAGG